rnacentral:miRNA from 1 species
UAUUUCUUGGUUUGAUGGCAGUGUACGUGACAACAGAUUAAAACUAUACAUAUCACGUACACUGCCAUCAAACCAAGAAAUAU